rnacentral:rRNA from 1 species
AUUGAACGCUGGCGGCAGGCCUAACACAUGCAAGUCGAGCGGAUGAAGGGAGCUUGCUCCUGGAUUCAGCGGCGGACGGGUGAGUAAUGCCUAGGAAUCUGCCUGGUAGUGGGGGAUAACGUCCGGAAACGGGCGCUAAUACCGCAUACGUCCUGAGGGAGAAAGUGGGGGAUCUUCGGACCUCACGCUAUCAGAUGAGCCUAGGUCGGAUUAGCUAGUUGGUGGGGUAAAGGCCUACCAAGGCGACGAUCCGUAACUGGUCUGAGAGGAUGAUCAGUCAACGGGAAGAGCAGACACGGUACAGAUGACUGGGGAGGCAACAAGUGUAGAAAAUGGAACACAGGCCUAAAGACGGAGCCAGCAGGGCGGGGUAGGUGAAUAAGGUCUGGGUAUUGUAACGAAAUGGGAGUGGGGAUGAAAGGAAAUAUGGUAUUACAUUGCUGUUUUGACGUUACCAACAGAAUAACACCCGGAAAACUCCGUGCCAGCAGAGGCGGUAAUAAAAGGCAGCGAACACGUCUUUA